rnacentral:rRNA from 1 species
UACGUAGGCAGCAAGCGUUGUUCGGAAUUACUGGGCGUAAAGAGUGUGUAGGCGGUGCUCUAAGUCUGUUGUGAAAUCUCCCGGCUUAACUGGGAGGGUGCGGCGGAGACUGGAGUGCUAGAGUGUGGGAGAGGUAAGCGGAAUUCCUGGUGUAGCGGUGAAAUGCGUAGAGAUGUGGAGGAACACCGAUGGCGAAGGCAGCCUCCUGGGCCAAUACUGACGCUCAUGCACGAAAGCGUGGGGAGCAAACAGG